GGGUGAGUAACACGUGGGUAACCUGCCUCAUAGAGGGGAAUAGCCUUCCGAAAGGAAGAUUAAUACCGCAUAAUGUAGUACCUUCGCAUGAAGGAACUAUCAAAAGAGCAAUCUGCUAUGAGAUGGACCCGCGGCGCAUUAGCUAGUUGGUGAGGUAACGGCUCACCAAGGCGACGAUGCGUAGCCGACCUGAGAGGGUGAUCGGCCACAUUGGAACUGAGACACGGUCCAGACUCCUACGGGAGGCAGCAGUGGGGAAUAUUGCGCAAUGGGGGAAACCCUGACGCAGCAACGCCGCGUGAAUGAAGAAGGCCUUCGGG
rnacentral:rRNA from 1 species